AACGAAUGCUGGCGGCAGGCUUAACACAUGCAAGCCGAGCGCCCCGCAAGGGGAGCGGCAGACGGGUGAGUAACGCGUGGGAAUCUACCCAUCUCUACGGAAUAACGCAUGGAAACGUGUGCUAAUACCGUAUACGUCCUUCGGGAGAAAGAUUUAUCGGAGAUGGAUGAGCCCGCGUUGGAUUAGCUAGUUGGUGGGGUAAAGGCCUACCAAGGCGACGAUCCAUAGCUGGUCUGAGAGGAUGAUCAGCCACACUGGGACUGAGACACGGCCCAGACACCUACGGGAGGCAGCAGUGGGGAAUAUUGGACAAUGGGCGCAAGCCUGAUCCAGCCAUGCCACGUGAGUGAUGAAGGCCCUAGGGUUGUAAAGCUCUUUCACCGGUGAAGAUAAUGACGGUAACCGGAGAAGAAGCCCCGGCUAACUUCGUGCCAGCAGCCGCCGUAAAAC
rnacentral:rRNA from 1 species